rnacentral:rRNA from 1 species
UACGUAGGGUGCGAGCGUUGUCCGGAAUUAUUGGGCGUAAAGAGCUCGUAGGCGGUUUGUUGCGUCGGCCGUGAAGACCUGCAGCUUAACUGUGGGCCUGCGGCCGAUACGGGCAGACUUGAGUUCGGUAGGGGAGACUGGAAUUCCUGGUGUAGCGGUGAAAUGCGCAGAUAUACGGAGGAACACCUGCGGCGAAGGCGGGUAGCUGGGCCAACACUGACGCUGAUUCACGAAAGCUAGGGGAGCAAACGGG